rnacentral:rRNA from 1 species
CAGUCGCCGCGGGAAUACGGAGGGUGCGAGCGUUAAUCGGAAUUACUGGGCGUAAAGCGUACGCAGGCGGUUUGUUAAGUCAGAUGUGAAAUCCCCGAGCUUAACUCGGGAACUGCAUUUGAAACUGGCAGGCUAGAGUCUCGUAGAGGGGGGUAGAAUUCCAGGUGUAGCGGUGAAAUGCGUAGAGAUCUGGAGGAAUACCGGUGGCGAAGGCGGCCCCCUGGACAAAGACUGACGCUCAGGUGCGAAAGCGUGGGGAGCAAACAGGAUUAGAUACCCCAGUAGUCCCUGUCUCUUAUAC